rfam:Marinobacter santoriniensis NKSG1 contig00030, whole genome shotgun sequence.
CAUGCGGUGCCUGGCGCCGGGCGAUUUGCCUAUGACCGGGUAGCGGCAUGACCGAUAGAGGU